rnacentral:rRNA from 1 species
UGCUUCCAUCUGGAAGAAUCUGGAGACAGGUGCUGCAUGGCUGUCGUCAGCUCGUGUCGUGAGAUGUUGGGUUAACGUCCCGCAACGAGCGCAACCCUUGCCUUUAGUUGCCAGCAGUUCGGCUGGGCACUCUAAAGGGACUGCCGGUGUUAAACCGGAGGAAGGUGGGGAUGACGUCAAGUCCUCAUGGCCUUUAUGACCAGGGCUACACACGUACUACAAUGGCCGAUACAAAGGGCAGCGACACUGCGAGGUGAAGCCAAUCCCGUAAAAUCGGUCUCAGUCCGGAUUGGAGUCUGCAACUCGACUCCAUGAAGUUGGAAUCGCUAGUAAUCGUGGAUCAGCAUGCCACGGUGAAUACGUUCCCGGGCCUU